rnacentral:tRNA from 1 species
GCGCCCAUAGCUCAGCUGGAUAGAGCGCUGCCCUCCGAAGGCAGAGGUCAGAGGUUCGAAUCCUCUUGGGCGCGCCA